UACGGAGGGUGCAAGCGUUAAUCGGAAUUACUGGGCGUAAAGCGUGCGUAGGCGGUUUGUUUCGUCUGUUGUGAACUCCCCGGGCUCACCCUGGGAAUGGCAAUGGAUACUGGCAAGCUAGAGUGUGUCAGAGGAUGGUGGAAUUUCCGGUGUAGCGGUGAAAUGCGUAGAGAUCGGAAGGAACAUCAGUGGCGAAGGCGGCCAUCUGGGACAACACUGACGCUGAAGCACGAAAGCGUGGGGAGCGAACAGG
rnacentral:rRNA from 1 species